rnacentral:rRNA from 1 species
GUCUACAGCCAUGCCACCUUGAACAAGCCCCACCCUGUCUGAUCUCAGAAGCUAAGCAGGGUCGGGCCUGGUUACUACUUCGAUGAGAGACCACCUAGGAAGACAAGGUGCUGUAAGCA